CAACACGGCUUGUGUGUCCUGGUCUGCCAGCCGGGGGGCUGAACAGUACUCAGUGACGGCCCACAGUAGUCAUGGCAACUUCAGCUGCCACACCUCUGACCACAGCUGUAGCCUCGACAACAUCAAGUGUGGCAACCGCUACACCGUUCAGGUGGUGGCGAUGAAUGGCAACUGCUCUAGUAUCCCCAGCCAGGCUCUGAUACUCAACUCAGCUCCCUGCCCGCCUCAGAACGUGAGUUCAGAGGUCAGCUGUUGGUCAAACGACAUGACGAUUUCUUGGGAUGCCGUCAGAGAAGCAGACCACUUUUUGGUGUCAGUAAUGUCAGACGAUGGAGGAACCAGCGAGUCCUGUAACACCACAAACACUGCAUGUUCCAUCAGCAACGUGACCUGUGGAAAUACAUUCAGAGUUCAAGUCGCCUCCGUCAGAGGGGCCUGCUGCAGCCAGCACAGUCAGGCCCACAGCAUCCUGUCAGCUCCCUGUCAGCCUCAGGGAAUCAGAGGCAACCUCGACUGUGUGACCAAUUCUGCCUGGAUAUCAUGGGAUGCUG
rnacentral:lncRNA from 1 species